rnacentral:lncRNA from 1 species
CAAAUUAGGCCUCAGUAAUUCUUUUGGUCUUUUCAGGAACUUGCAUUUGCUGAGUCAAGGACAUCUGGUAGGACAAAUUACUCAGCAGGGUAGCUAUGUGCCUAGGACCCGGUUUUCCAAGAACAAGGGUCUUCCCCUCCCAUCCCCCUUUGGACAGGCCCUGCUCUGAGGUAGAGGCUGAUUUCUCAAAAAUGGAGUCACAUCAGUUUCUCAUGGCCAGUUCAAGACUCAACUCUGGGAAAAUUUUGUUGUUUACUCCUAAUGUAGGGAUCAUGGAGAAGAUGGCUGUGACAACCAAAAAGAGAAAUUAAAAAAUAUAUGGGGAACUAUACGUUGUCAAAUGAAAAACUGUACCUGAGUUUUCUCUUUUUUCCCAGAAGAUAGUCAAAGAGAAUGAUUUUUUUUUUUUCUGUUGUUAUUAAGGGAAUAGCAGCUUUCUAGUGGUUUGGGAAUAGCAAGCUAGUGGAUUGUUCUUCCAUUUCCCAUUUGAUUAUUGACUGGCUUGUUUCUUCCUCCUGAUGAUGCACACUCAGUUAAUGUCAAUAAUUGUUAGCCAGUUAAUGUCAACAGCAAGUGAUUUACUGGAUAGAUAACUGAAUGAGCCUAUUGUCCAUUGUUCCCAAGGGCAGGCAGAUCCUUGAUAACUGGGCCAGCAGUGGCCCAGCAACUUUUGUAGUUGAGUGUUACUGAUUUUUUAAUUUCCUAGGUAGAUUUGUAUUUCUUUGGUUAAGUCAGAUAGCUAAAUGGAUUUAGACCCUCAGAACAGCUAAGGCAUUUUAAUAAAAACAUCUAGCAUGUCCAAUUAGCAGAUUUCAGAAUUGAAUUAUAAACAACAAUAAUGAAAUUCUUCCUCUGAAUUGAAAUAACUUCAUUGUUUAACAUUUUUUUCCCAAGUAGAAGAGUAAGGAUUGGGGGUAUUGCUCAGUGGUAGAGGACUUGCCUAGCAAGGCAGAGACCCUGCCUGGGUUUUGUCCACCGAAUUGCAC